GACUGGUCUGAUAGUAGUGGGUUAUCAGAACUUAUUAACAUCAGUGUCACUAAUGGUAUACAAUCCCCCACUGCUAAAUUUGAUUGACUUUU
rnacentral:Y_RNA from 1 species